GCUGGUGUUUUAGACAAGAGGAAGAGGUUGCCAAGGAGGGCAAUUGGGAGGGGCAACAAGGAUGGAUAAGCAGAUACAGAUCCAAAAGGACGAUGGGAGGAGAGAAAGAGGGGAGAGGAAACAAAAUAGAUAAUAACUACCAGGAAUGAACAAGAAGGAAGGCCCGACAUCUAUAGAGGCAGGAGAUCAUUGGAAUAAAAGAGGGAGAGAAGCCAGCAGAAGAAGCAAAGAAGAGGCGGCAGAACUAAAAAACUAAAAAAAAUGAGUGUGUUAGUUUUGCUUUAGUACCUGGUUAACUGUGGAGCUUAGUGAUUUCAGGCUUUGCUCCAAAACUCUUAGCUCCUCCUCCACUUUCCGAGCGCGCCUGUUAGUGGGCGGGGCACGCGUGUGCAAGCCAAAACCAUUCAAACCGUGGUGAGCAUGCAAAUAAUCAGCACAAAAAAGUAAGAACACAGGGCCCGCUGUCUACGCGGAAACAGUAAUGUGCUCUGUGUGUUAGUGCGCAGAGCCAAAAUUUGUUUUCAUGCACGUGUGAGUGCUGGUUUAGGGGAAAAAAAGCAGAAAGCUCUUACCCCUCUGAAAGCUCAGCGCGCUCCUCUGUGCGCUCCAAGUCACCCUCAAUGAUGACCAGUUUACGAGCCACCUGAAGGUGAAGCACAACCGUGUUAAACAACAACUCGCAAAAGGUUAAUAUUUAUAACCUUCAUUUACAGGUGGAGAACACACGGAACAGUUCAUUUGCCUAAAGUUGUGUGAGAACAAAAAAUAUGUGUAGAAACUUGCUGUGAAAGUAAAAACAUAACCGUGUGAAACAACAAAAGAGAAAGUUCUUGGGAAAUGGAAUCGAGGAGAUGCUGAUUCCUCAUCAGCGAUUCUUGCCGGCGGCUGAAAGACUCGCCUCCUCAUAUUUGCGGUCGGCCUCCUCAGCGAUGUGUUUGGCCUCUUUCAGCUGGAUCUCCUGGAUCUCCAUCUUCUCCUCAUCCUUCAUGGCCCUGUUCUCAAUGACCUUCAUGCCUCUGUGAACGCAGACAGUCAGGGAAUGUUAGGAAUUGACUUGUGACAUUCUCCUCAAAGUCAAAAAAAAAAAAAAAAACUUGUCUAUUUUGCCCUUAAGGUGCAUGAGUCAGAGAUCAUUUGUGUCGGUCUCACCCAAGGCAGGGAAAAAUUUUAACCAUUUAGUCAACUCAGACUGACUUACACUCCUUUUAAAAAGAGAAUAAUGUUCAUAGGCUGAACACAGACUGGCUUAAAGUUAACUUUAACCCAGAUUGGGACCAACAAUAACAAAUUUGAAGACAAAGAGGAUAAAAACGUUCCCUCCAGAGAUACGUUUUGUACUGCUAAAAGAAAAGCAAAAAAUACUAAGAGGAAAAAAA